UGCACCUGCCACCUAAACCUCUCCUUUCCUUUGAUUCCGGUUCUGAAUCAGCGGCUCCGUGCAAGACUGCAAGUUGCGAAGCUGCUGAGCAGCAAGGGCGUGGCAACCGGCAAGAUGAGGCGCGCAGGUGUUCUUCUGGCGCUUCUGCUCUCCUUGUCUGCGCUGUCUGCCUCCGCCGCUGAAGCACACAAGGUACAACGAUUGGGAGGAAAUGCGAUCCUGUUAACGGGCCGGAAAUGGUUGAAAGGCCGGAAGAUAAUGGCAGCUCUUGGGCAUGGAGAUGCCGCCAAGAAGGAUGAGGUGGUGGAAGGAGAGGGAGCCAAGAGCACAGGUGCAAACACUGUCCAUGUCCAUGAAGAGGAGAAAACUGUAGAGGAUACUGUUGUCGGGUCGAGUGGUGAGAGCGGCGGCGGCAAUCACAGAUUUGCCGGCCUCGUGCCGUUCAGUGCCGAUUACCGCACUCCGAGAACUCACCCACCAAGGAAUAACUGAAAAUGAAGCAGGCAAAUACUUCUCCUUGGUUUCUAGCCUCUGAUAAUCGAUGUCUUCCACCUAAUCUUCUGCUGCCACUGCUCAUUGCGUAAUCAAGUGUAGUUGCUGCUUUUCUGAAUGCAAACCACCAGUAGGACGAGUAGAAGUAUAGCAUGAACGUUGAAGACUGAACAGUGGCCUGAAAUGCAUCAUUUUCUCGUUGCUGCAGGAGCAAAUCAAGAAGCAGAUGCACCUGCUGAAGCUGUACAUGACUCGGGUAAAAGGAGCAAGGGAUCAGCAACUCAUGCCACUUUUUCGGCGCCAAGGCAAGGCGAUACGGCUGCCGUGGCCCCUGAGGUCCUCGGCAUGGAUUACAACUUGAAGCUGGAUGCCCGUCACCACCGACCCAUCAACAACGACGCUCCGCUGCUGGACGAUCUCGCCAAGAUGCCCUAGGUAUUGUGAACUCGGGUAUAGCUCCUGGAGCAUGGCAUAUGCUGGAUUAUCUUGCUUUACAGAUACAUCUAACCACAGUAGCCAUUAGCUAAUGGUUAGCUUAGCUAGUUAGGAUCGGAGCUCGCUCUCCAAGCCACAUGUAGCCCGUUCUUGGCACUCGUGGACCCAUCUGAGUUCACUGGAACGGGCAGUUUUGAUUGUAAUGUGCUUGGAUGGAGAGCAUCUGCAAUUUCUCAGCAGUACUUCUGAGUUCUGAAGUUGCUGACAGUAGAGUCUGAUGGUGGUCUUCAGGUAGUAUUCACGAAUCAGGAUCAGGUUGCAGGAUGUGGGCCUACAAGGCAAACAGUUAUGGAGCUGUGCCCAGACUUUCAGGGAGAGAGAUGUUUCGGCCUUCUUGAGCCGGAGCACCGGCCCACUAAAAAGGGGCCGAUCUAUAUUGGGCCUAUAUUUGGGUUUAUGCUUUUAGAUCCCUCAUACCGAUUUUCUAAAGGCUCCAGUACCUCUCAUGCUCUCAGAGAAAAAGUUUGAGGUUACGGCACCAAAAAUCAAAAAGAAAAAAAAAUUGAGAGUUUGACCUGAACCGCGGUCUACGGAUUAUAAAGUUUUUAGUGGAGGCAGAGACACCUCUGGUGGGUAGCUUAUCCUUGGCAGUUUAAUUUGGGAUCUGGAGCUUGCCUAAAUUUUUUUCUUCG